rnacentral:rRNA from 1 species
GAUGAACGCUGGCGGCGUGCUUAACACAUGCAAGUCGAACGGUGAACGAGGGAGCUUGCUCCCUCCGGAUCAGUGGCGAACGGGUGAGUAACACGUGAGCAAUCUGCCCCGAACUCUGGGAUAAGCGCUGGAAACGGCGUCUAAUACCGGAUACGACGCGCGAAGGCAUCUUCUGCGCGUGGAAAGAAUUUCGGUUCGGGAUGAGCUCGCGGCCUAUCAGCUAGUUGGUGAGGUAACGGCUCACCAAGGCGACGACGGGUAGCCGGCCUGAGAGGGUGACCGGCCACACUGGGACUGAGACACGGCCCAGACUCCUACGGGAGGCAGCAGUGGGGAAUAUUGCACAAUGGGCGCAAGCCUGAUGCAGCAACGCCGCGUGAGGGACGACGGCCUUCGGGUUGUAAACCUCUUUUAGUAGGGAAGAAGCGAAAGUGACGGUACCUGCAGAAAAAGCACCGGCUAACUACGUGCCAGCCGCCGCCGUAAGAC